rnacentral:ncRNA from 1 species
GAGGAGUUUGAUUCUUGCUUUGCCUGUAGUCCUUGGUCAGGGCACAUGAAAGUAUAAGCUUAGUUGCUUCCGGUCGGAUGGGAGUAGGGGGCCGGUUUGUAGGGUUUAUGAAUGAUUCUCAGUGCAUAGGAUUGGUUGAUAAAGUGGUUUUUGAUCCAGUGAUCUAAGUUAAGUCCAGGCUAAAAUUGUGCCAGCAGCCGCGGUUAUACUGAUAGGGCCACUAUAGGUGUGUUGUGGUUGGGGUGUUUAGAGGCUCUAAGGUUUAAGUUAGCUUUACUGUGGCAAAGGGGUGAAAUCUAUUAUUUAUUAGUGUGUUUAGUUUGGCUUUAGGGAGUUUGAAAUUCCGAAGCUUGGGGUGUAAAAUAGGAUUAGAUACCCUAAUAUACCCAGGGGAAAUUAGUACGAUCUUAGGGUAGUAAACAGGUAUAAUCUCGAAACUCAAAGAAUUUGGCGGUACUUAAGUCCGGUUAGAGGAACUUGUGCAGUAAACGAUAGUCCGCGAGAAUUUUGCCUUGUUUUGUACUUAUCAGUUUGUAUACCGCCAUUAUUAGAUAAUCUUAGUAGAGAGUUAUUGCGAUUAAUUAAUUUAAAUAUAUUAGGUCAAGGUGCAGCUUAUAGGAAGGUUGUUGUGAGUUACAUUGGUUUGGGCCAUACGGAUAGUGUCUGGGAGGAAGGAGAUUUUAAGGUGGAUUUAAUUGUAAGGGGUGUGCAUUACGCACCUUUGAUAAGGGCUCUUAGGUAUGUACACAUCGCCCGUCGUUCUCACUCUAAGGUGAGGUAAGUCGUAACAUAGUAGGUGUGUUGGAAAAGGCACCUAGAAGUAA